rnacentral:rRNA from 1 species
UACGUAGGGUGCGAGCGUUGUCCGGAAUUAUUGGGCGUAAAGAGCUCGUAGGCGGUGUGUCACGUCGGCCGUGAAAACCUACAGCUUAACUGUGGGCGUGCAGUCGAUACGAGCAAACUAGAGUGUUGCAGGGGAGACUGGAAUUCCUGGUGUAGCGGUGAAAUGCGCAGAUAUCAGGAGGAACACCGGUGGCGAAGGCGGGUCUCUGG